AGCGAACGCUGGCGGCAGGCCUAACACAUGCAAGUCGAACGAACUCUUCGGAGUUAGUGGCGGACGGGUGAGUAACACGUGGGAACGUGCCUUUAGGUUCGGAAUAACUCAGGGAAACUUGUGCUAAUACCGAAUGUGCCCUUCGGGGGAAAGAUUUAUCGCCUUUAGAGCGGCCCGCGUCUGAUUAGCUAGUUGGUGAGGUAAAGGCUCACCAAGGCGACGGUCAGUAGCUGGUCUGAGAGGAUGAUCAGCCACAUUGGGACUGAGACACGGCCCAAACUCCUACGGGAGGCAGCAGUGGGGAAUCUUGCGCAAUGGGCGAAAGCCUGACGCAGCCAUGCCGCGUGAAUGAUGAAGGUCUUAGGAUUGUAAAAUUCUUUCACCGGGGACGAUAAUGACGGUACCCGGAGAAGAAGCCCCGGCUAACUUCGUGCCAGCCGCCGCGGUAAAAC
rnacentral:rRNA from 1 species